UAGGAAGUACUUAUGUUGCCAGUUAAAGGCCGUGAGCGCUAUAACAUGUUAAAAAAGAUAAAUGAUGCAUUAGAACUGGCUGAAAAAGAGGCUAAAAACAAAACCAGGGCUUCUAAGGAACUGCUGCCGUCCAGUGGAAAGCGCGUCUUGCAAAAAGCAGAACGAAGCGACAGCGACUAGUUGCAAUCUGCCUUCUUUUAACCGCCAUGUUAUGUUCAGUGUUGCUUCCUGGCCAACAUCCCUCAGCAGGAGGCUGCACGAUCAUCGAGUUCAGAUGAACUGCGCGACCCCAGCCCCCUGUACCUCCCCGUCCCUCGUCCUGCCGGGGUCCGGCGCGACCCCAGCCCACGGAACCUCCCCGUCCCUCGUCCUGCCGGGGUCCGGCGCGACCCCAGCCCCCUGUACCUCCCCGUCCCGCAUCCUCCCGGGGUCAGGCGCUAACCCAGCCCCCUGUACCUCCCCGUCAGGCGUCUUGCCGGGGUCCGGCGCGACCCCAUUUUUUUUUGUUUUUUAUUUUUCCUUCUCCUUUCCUCCCCUUUACCUCCACCCGUGCCACAGGCCCACUGAUGAUGAACAUGAUGAUGAUGACGAACAUGAUGAUGAUGAUGAUGAUGAUGAUGAUGAUGAUGAUGAUGAUGAUGAUGCAAGCAGACAGCUGCGUGCAAGGGCUGACCAUUUUAAACGAAAAAUAAAACAGACCAAACAGGCAAAAA